rnacentral:rRNA from 1 species
GACGAACGCUGGCGGCGUGCUUAACACAUGCAAGUCGAACGAUGAAGCUGGAGCUUGCUCCGGUGGAUUAGUGGCGAACGGGUGAGUAACACGUGAGUAAUCUGCACUUGACUCUGGGAUAACUGCGGGAAACUGUAGCUAGUACCGGAUACGACACCUUCGGGCAUCCGAUGGGUGUGGAAAGAAUUUCGGUCAAGGAUGAACUCGUGGCCUAUCAGCUAGUUGGUGAGGUAAUGGCUCACCAAGGCGACGACGGGUAGCCGGCCUGAGAGGGUGACCGGCCACACUGGGACUGAGACACGGCCCAGACUCCUACGGGAGGCAGCAGUGGGGAAUAUUGCACAAUGGGCGAAAGCCUGAUGCAGCAACGCCGCGUGAGGGAUGAAGGCCUUCGGGUUGUAAACCUCUUUUAGUUGGGAAGAAGCGAAAGUGACGGUACCAACAGAAAAAGCACCGGCUAACUACGUGCCAGCAGCCGCCGUAA